CAGUAUAUACUAUCUCUCCCAUGAUGCUCUGAGCGCUUCUGACGGUGUUUCUGUGCUUCUGCAGGUGGAUCUGGAUUCUUCAGGAUCUGCUGGGAAUUGCGUUCUGCCUGAACUUCCUGAAAACCAUCAGCCUGUCCAACUUUAAGAUCUGCGUAUUCUGCUCAGUCUGCUGCUGGUCUAGACUGUCUUCUUCGUCUUCAUCACGCCAUUCCUGACGCCGAACGGAGAGAGCAUCAUGGUGCAGGUGGCUCUGGGCCCGGUGCUGGAGGGAAGGGUCAAGCACUGGAGGUUCCAGGAGACAACUCUUCCUCCUACGAGAAACUGCCGGUGGUGAUGCGUGACC